rnacentral:rRNA from 1 species
GAUGAACGCUGGCGGCGUGCCUAAUACAUGCAAGUCGAGCGAACGGACGAGAAGCUUGCUUCUCUGAUGUUAGCGGCGGACGGGUGAGUAACACGUGGAUAACCUACCUAUAAGACUGGGAUAACUUCGGGAAACCGGAGCUAAUACCGGAUAAUAUUUUGAACCGCAUGGUUCAAAAGUGAAAGACGGUCUUGCUGUCACUUAUAGAUGGAUCCGCGCUGCAUUAGCUAGUUGGUAAGGUAACGGCUUACCAAGGCAACGAUGCAUAGCCGACCUGAGAGGGUGAUCGGCCACACUGGAACUGAGACACGGUCCAGACUCCUACGGGGGGCAGCAGUAGGGAAUCUUCCGCAAUGGGCGAAAGCCUGACGGAGCAACGCCGCGUGAGUGAUGUAGGUCUUCGGAUCGUAAAACUCUGUUAUUAGGGAAGAACAUAUGUGUAAGUAACUGUGCACAUCUUGACGGUACCUAAUCAGAAAGCCACGGCUAACUACGUG